CAGGGAACAGGUGCCUCCCACGCGCCAGGAAGUCAAUGGAAAGUGACAUUUUUUUUUUACCCUGGCAUGCAGAACAGUACAGAAACGCCAUAAUUCUUUUCCUGGGUUUAAGUGUUUUAUUUUGGUUUUUGUUUUUUUUUUUUUUUUUUUUUUGCUUUUGGACCAGAUUUUUGAAAGAGCAAGCACAGUUCUGAUAAAUUACAGUGAUCAACCAGCACCUGCAGGAAUUUCAGAGAAAGCAAGACAAUAAUUGAUCUGAAACUUUUUGAUUCUGCCUGACAUUAUGCUGUUUGUACAGACACCUGGAGCAGGUGACACAGGAGCGUGUCCAGGUACAGUGUGCAGCCCUGUAACUCACCAUCCACAUCUGAACCCUGCUGUGAGGAGAGACAAUUGCCACCUUCCUGUGGUUGUCUGUCACACUCACCAUCCCUUUCCCUUGAGUACUUCACAAAUAUUGAUGGAAUUACCUCCAGGAAAAGGCAUCAAUCACCACAGGCAUUUUCUGCCUCAGAGUUGAAAUUACAAAGAUGUCUCCAGAUAUGUGGUGUCCUUUUAGGGUUAAACCUGGCUUGAAUUGGAAAGAGCUACGUGUGGAGAAAAAGCAAUAUAGGAUCAAUAUAUUCAACCCUCUGCACUUUAAAAGAGUAUAGCAACAAGAUUUCACUAUGGGCCAGAGUUUUUCAACUGCCUGGUCAACUUUAGUGCCUUGCUUCCAGCUGUUCAUAAUGUGAUACCUCAGAGGGACUUGGUUUUCUGUGUCCUACAUAUUUACAGCUGAAAUGGAAUUCUUCUGACAAUGGGGCUCCUUUCAAUUAAUUCAAGAUUAAGGUCUGAAAAUAGUACGCAGAAUUGCUAGCUGAAUUGAAAUACCAA
rnacentral:lncRNA from 1 species